ACCCGGAUGCACCCACGGACCGGCUUUUCCCGACAUGGAUCAAGGCUUUGUCUCUCUCGUCCCAUUACAUUUGGUCCGACCAGAGGACGUUGUUAUACGAAGAGGCGGUAGCGAACGCCUUUUAUCAAAGUGGCAGAAAUUAUGUUACCAUACCGACUGGCAUAAUACAACGUCCCUUCUUUUAUCCUCGCGGGCCACUCGUUCUGAACUACGGCGGCCUCGGAGCGCUUGUGGGCCACGAGAUUAUGCACGCAUUUGACGUACGUGGAGUAACAAUGGACUACCGACCUUGGGUCACGCCUGAGUUUUUAAAGGAAUACACAAAAAGAACACUCUGCCUGCGAAAUCAACAUAGAUCUGUUCUACCAUUCAACGCCCGCAUGGAGGUGUUGGACGACACGCUGGACUCCGAGAACUUGGCCGACUUGGUGGGCGCCAUGACUGCUUACGCUGCCUUCGCUUCGUUGUCCCCCUCACGCAGCAACGUAACGCUGGUGGGGCUCGACAUGUCAGCGGAGCGCCUGUUCUUCGUCAGUCACUGCGUAAAAUGGUGCAACCAAAACAAAGCUUAUAAGGCCCCCUAUGCACCCCCCCGCUCCCGCUGUAUUGUGCCACUGAUGAAUAUGCCCGAGUUCUCGAGGGCCUACGGCUGCGCCGCCGGGGAACCCAUGAAUCCACCGAACCAGUGCACCUUUUGGUAAUGAAAGGUUCGGCGCCCAUCCUGUUUUGAGCGCUCUUGCAGUGUACUUUUGUUGCGUGUUUCUCCAAAAGCUAUCAACCACAAUAGUUAAUUCAAAGCUGCAAUAAAAACACAUUCAAGAUACUCAGCGCCGGGUUAUUUCUAGGAAUGUUGUGGUUUUAGACGGAACGGCUUUUCACAAUGAAAAUUUGUAAAUAAUAUCACUGCAAACGAUCGAAGCAGCAGAAAGUGCGGGGUAACUGGCGCUCAAUGCGUAAUAAACGAAGACCGGUUUUUUAGGAAUGAAACGCAGAAACGAGCACUGAAAGCUUUAUGGUAAGAGGGUAGAAGAAGAGUUUACUUGUGAGGAAUGAAAGGUAGCGAUGCUGGUAUUUAAGACAUCGCAGUGCUUCAAAACGAUUUGCUGUUCACAGUAUAUCGGUGUACUUUCGUCAGCCCGUUGUUUAAUAAAGUACUUUGCCGUAACAUGUAAUUAAUAUUUUUCGAAUGGACAACCAUCGCCGCUUUCUGUGCGUAAUAUUAAGAAAGAGCAUGGAAAAGACAAAUAUGCCAGAGAGCUGCUAGAUUUUUAAAAACAAAAGAUUAAACUCGUGCCUAGUGAAUUAAGCUAACAAAAUGUUCUGGUAUUAAAAGGAUCGCUUACUACGAUUUUCUUAAAAAUCUUCCUAAACGCAAUAGUAACAUGCAAGGAUCGCUUCCCCAUGUUGGGGUUAGAAUGACCUUGUAGGCGGCGGCACAAGUGAAUCCAACAAUCGUGCAUUGCGGUAGAUUUUACGGCUUCGUCCAAUCUUUGAUUUUGUAAGCCGACAAGAGCCCGCUAUUUUUUAACAAAAUAAAAUAGUAGUAGGUCUCCAAAACACUU